rnacentral:rRNA from 1 species
CCUACGGGAGGCAGCAGUGGGGAAUCUUGCACAAUGGAGGAAACUCUGAUGCAGCGAUGCCGCGUGAGUGAAGAAGGCCUUUGGGUUGUAAAGCUCUUUUGUAGGGGAAGAUAAUGACUGUACCCUAAGAAUAAGGUCCGGCUAACUUCGUGCCAGCAGCCGCGGUAAUACGAAGGGACCUAGCGUAGUUCGGAAUUACUGGGCGUAAAGCGCGCGUAGGCCGUUGAGUUAGUUAAUUGUGAAAUCCCAAAGCUUAACUUUGGAACUGCAAUUAAAACUGCUCGACUAGAGUUUGAUAGAGGAAAGCGGAAUACAUAGUGUAGAGGUGAAAUUCGUAGAUAUUAUGUAGAACACCAGUUGCGAAGGCGGCUUUCUGGAUCAACACUGACGCUGAGGCGCGAAAGUAUGGGUAGCAAAGAGGAUUAGAUACCCUCGUAGUCCAUACCAUAAACGAUGAUUGCUAGAUGUUGGAAAUUUAUUUUCAGUAUCGCAGCUAACGCAUUAAGCAAUCCGCCUGGGGAGUACGACCGCAAGGUUAAAACUUAAAUGAAUUGACGG